rnacentral:rRNA from 1 species
CCAAUAGCGUAUAUUAAAGUUGUUGCAGUUAAAAAGCUCGUAGUUGAAUUUCGGGAUCAAUACGUCGGUCGUGCCUCGGUACGUACUGGCGUCAUUGAUUUCUCCCUUCUGAAGAACCGUGAUGCCAUUAACUUGGUGUCAUGGGAAAUCAGGACUGUUACUUUGAAAAAAUUAGAGUGUUUAAAGCAGGCUCACGCUUGAAUACAUUAGCAUGGAAUAAUGAAAUAGGACGUUCGACCCUAUUUUGUUGGUUUCUAGGAUCAACGUAAUGAUUAAUAGGGGUAGUUGGGGGCAUUAGUAUUCAAUUGUCAGAGGUGAAAUUCUUGGAUUUAUUGAAGACUAACUACUGCGAAAGCAUUUGCCAAGGAUGUUUUCAUUAAUCAAGAACGAAAGUUAGGGGAUCGAAGACGAUCAGAUACCGUCGUAGUCUUAACCAUAAACUAUGCCGACUAGGGAUCGGAUGAUGUUAAUUUUUUAAUGACUCAUUCGGCGCCUUACG